rnacentral:rRNA from 1 species
GAUGAACGCUGGCGGCGUGCUUAACACAUGCAAGUCGAACGGUGAAGCAGAGCUUGCUCUGUGGAUCAGUGGCGAACGGGUGAGUAACACGUGAGCAACCUGCCCCUGACUCUGGGAUAAGCGCUGGAAACGGCGUCUAAUACUGGAUAUGAGCUGCGACCGCAUGGUCAGCAGUUGGAAAGAUUUUUCGGUCUGGGAUGGGCUCACGGCCUAUCAGCUUGUUGGUGAGGUAAUGGCUCACCAAGGCGCCGACGGGUAGCCGGCCUGAGAGGGUGACCGGCCACACUGGGACUGAGACACGGCCCAGACUCCUACGGGAGGCAGCAGUGGGGAAUAUUGCACAAUGGGCGAAAGCCUGAUGCAGCAACGCCGCGUGAGGGAUGACGGCCUUCGGGUUGUAAACCUCUUUUAGCAGGGAAGAAGCGAAAGUGACGGUACCUGCAGAAAAAGCGCCGGCUAACUACGUG